UUGACAUGAUAUGUAUUAUCAUUUUUUUUUGACAGGCAGUUUUAUCCAAAGGAUUUUUUAUCGAGAAAGCAAGGUCAGCCAGCCCCUGCAGCGAUUGGGGUUAAGGGCCUUGCUCGAGGGCCCAAAGGUGGGACCACGCUGCUGACCACGGGGAUAUGAGCCGGUGACCUUCCCAUCUCAGGUGUGUGAAAUCAGGACAAGGGAUAUGUGGUACGGGACCCUCGGGAGGAGGAGAAGAAGGGAACGAUGCAUCGAACAUGUGCAUCUCUUCCUCAAGAAAAUGGAAGAGGAAAAGACUAUAGAAGAAUACAUCUGGUUGUCCGCUUCUAGCUUUAAAAAAAAAAGAAAAGAAAAAAAUACAUCUUCAGCUUGGGGAAGAAAGGAGGAAAGUCUUGCCUCUGGCGGUAAUUGAGUAAUUCACCCAACUAAUGGAAAUCCUAGUUUCUUUAAAGGAACUGUCAGAAGAUCCUGGCAUUUUAUCUGGAAAAAUAACAGUAAAGGAAUUGCCAAGAG